UAGGGAAUAUUGCACAAUGGGCGAAAGCCUGAUGCAGCAACGCCGCGUGAGUGAUGAAGGCCUUCGGGUCGUAAAGCUCUGUCGUGUGGGAAGAAAAAAAUGACGGUACCACACAAGAAAGGACCGGCCAACUUCGUGCCAGCAGCCGCGGUAAUACGGGGGGUCCAAGCGUUGUUCGGAAUCACUGGGCGUAAAGCGCAUGUAGGUGGCUUUUCAAGUCAACUGUGAAAGCCCAGGGCCUAACCCUGGAAGUGCAGUUGAUACUGUUGAGCUUGAGUACGAGAGAGGAUAGUGGAAUUUCUGGUGUAGUGGUGAAAUACGUAGAUAUCAGAAGGAACAUCGGUGGCGAAGGCGGCUAUCUGGCUCGAUACUGACACUGAGAUGCGAAAGCGUGGGGAUCAAACA
rnacentral:rRNA from 1 species